rnacentral:rRNA from 1 species
UACGUAGGGGGCAAGCGUUGUCCGGAAUUAUUGGGCGUAAAGAGCUCGUAGGCGGUUUGUCGCGUCUGCUGUGAAAACCCGAGGCUCAACCUCGGGCCUGCAGUGGGUACGGGCGGACUUGAGUACUGCAGGGGAGACUGGAAUUCCUGGUGUAGCGGUGAAAUUCGUAGAUAUCGGGAGGAACACCGGUGGCGAAGGCGGCGAUCUGGGUAGAUACUGACGCUGAGGUGCGAAAAGCGUGGGGGAGCAAACAGGG